AUUACUUGAAAUAUAAAUUAAGUUUCUGUGGAUGUUGAUGGUGUUUGUAGUUGCCUCACAACACUAGCAUCAGGAACGUGCACAAGAUCCUCAGUAUAUAUUAUUAUACUGUAUAUACAAAGAAUAAGUUCUUCCAUACGCAAACCAAAUUCUGGGCAAUGUGACAUGUUGAACUGCAUAGCCUGGCAAUCUCCAUUGACGGGCAGAACAUCCCACUCAUCCCGUAAGAUCCAGCAAUGGCUCGUGGACAUCAAAAGGCUCAGUCACAA